rnacentral:lncRNA from 1 species
CUUGGUGAAAGAGGUAAACAGAGCCCAGAAACCCAUUUACUAUGUAAGUAAAGUCUUACUUGAUGCAAAGAUAAGGUACACUUUAGCCGAGCAGCUUGCCCUCACCCUGAUAGUGGCAGCACGAGAGCUUUGACAAUAUUUUCAGUCUCAUCCCAUUGUUGUGCUCACCAAUCAGCCUCUGAAACACAUUCUUCAAAAGUCAGAUGUCUCAGGCAGAUUACUAAAGUGGACAAUUGAACUUGGGGAGUUUGAUAUAGAGUUCAAGCCCCGUCCGUCCAUCAAAGCCCAAGCUUUAGCGGACUUUAUUGCAGAACUCACCCCAAAGCCUCGGGGCCCAGGUGAGAGCUCGAGCACUACAACAGAUGUUUGGGAAAUUUUCGUGGAUGGAACAUCAGACUCCUUAGGCUCGGGUGCAGGGGUCAUCAUAACGAGUUCAAACAUGCUCGUGGACAUUCAGUGUGCACUCAGGUUUGAAUUCAAAGCAACCAACAAUGAGGCGGAGUAUGAGGCUGUCAUCAUAGCCCUGGAACUUGCCAUUAAUUUUGAACUUGAAAACACCAAAAUCUUUAGUGAUUCUCGGCUGGUGGUGGGGUAGAUUGACGGAACGUUUGAGAAAAAAGACGAGAAAAUGAGCUUAUAAUGCUUAAAAGUUCAUGAUCUCCGACGAAAAUUAAAGAGGUGUGAAAUUGUGAAGAUUGCCUGGGCUGACAACUACAAGGCAGAUGCCUUAUCAAGGCUAGUGUUCAUGGGAGUAGAUGAAUUUGACAGAACCGUACAUGUCAGAUUUAUGACUGAGCCUAGCAUCAAUCAGACCGUAGGCGUCAUGGAUAUUGAUAAUGAACCAUCGUGGAUAGAUCCAAUAGUGGACUUCAUAAAACAUGGCAAUCUUCCAGAAGAUCCUUGAGCAGCAAGAAGCAUUCGAUCCAAAGUUCCAAGGUUUUGCAUGAUUGAAGGAGUUUUAUUUCGCAGAAGCCUCACACUUCCAUACCUCAGAUGCCUUAAGCCUUCCGAAUCAUCCCAGGCCCUAGAAGAAGUUCAUGAAGGAAUAUGUGGGAACCAUCAAGGAGCUCAGGCAUUAGCCUUCAAGCUCAUAAGUUAUGGAUAUUAUUGGCCUACCAUGAAGAAAGACGCCUAGGAAUAUAUCAAGAAGUGUGAUAAGUGCCAGAGAUUCAGUAAUAUCAUCCACUCUCCCGCAGAGGACCUCACUAGCAUUAGUUGCACGACCCCGUUUGAGCAGUGUGGAAUUGACAUCCUUGGUCCCUUUCCAAUAACUAGGGGGUAAUUGAAGUUUGUGGCUGUGGCUGUAGAGUAUUUCACUAAGUGGGUGGAGGCCGAGCCUUUAGCAACAAUUUCAAAGCCUAAGUUGAGAACUUUCAUUUGGAGGUCCAUCAUAUGUAGGUUUGGGAUACCGUAAGUCCUUAUAACUGAUAAUGGCAGGCAGUUUGACAAUGC